rnacentral:lncRNA from 1 species
GCACACUGUGGUCUGACUUCCUUGGUGUCCCCUCUUCCCACAGGACCAUGUAGAAAGACGCCAAGUUCAGAUGGGUCCUGCGAGUUUGGUUUGGCUGCCUCCUUGGAGACAACAACCCCUUUCUGAGGCAGGAGAAAACAAAGGAGAGUGUGAGAAGAGUCUGCUCCAGGAGGAUUCCGCUGCGGGAGGGAAGAGGGUAGGUUAGGAACUGCUCAGUGGGCGACAGACCUGGUAUGAAUUUCCCCUUGUAUAUUGACCACUGAUCUUGAGCAGGCUGCCACCUGUCACACCUCUCUGGGUCUCACCACACUCACAACGAAGGGGUGACAUUGUGGCUGGCUGCAUGGGCACUGGAAAGAGCUAAUGAGGGAGUGUUGGUGGUAUGGACACCAGUGUUGGGACCUUGGUGCUGGGCAGGGCAAUUUUCUCCAGACAAGCCUUUGCCAACUUGGGAGACUGACUAGGAGUCACCUCCUCGAGCUCCCUGUGGGAAGGUUUGGUGGCCCUACCUGCCUGGUUCAGCAUGGCCUUUGUGAGGACUGAAUGACAUGGUUUUUGCCCCUGGCACAGGGCCAGCAGAUGUGGGCGUCCAGGAGUGUCGAUGGCUGACAUGGACGUAAGACUUGUUUGUAUAAUAAUGUACGUAUUUUACAUUCCUCCCUCAAGGAAUGUCCUCCUUGUUAAUGUUAAUGACUCUAUGUGGAUCAGAGACAGCACAAGUCCAGGAGCUGAAGGGGUGGCUAAUGUCUCAGCAAAAUGGUAAAUGCUGCAACCUUCAGGACAGCCCUAAAGGUUGUAGAAAAGAACUCUAAAAAAGAUGAGUUUGAAAAUACAUAAUUUCCCAACUCUGCAAA